UACGAGGGGGGCGAGCGUUGUUCGGAAUUAUUGGGCGUAAAGAGCUCGUAGGCGGCCGUUCGCGUCGGAUGUGAAAGCUCAGGGCUCAACUCUGAGAUGCCAUUCGAUACGGGACGGCUAGAGGUAGGUAGGGGAGAGUGGAAUUCCUGGUGUAGCGGUGAAAUGCGCAGAUAUCAGGAGGAACACCGGUGGCGAAGGCGGCUCUCUGGGCCUUACCUGACGCUGAGGAGCGAAAGCUGGGGGAGCGAACAGG
rnacentral:rRNA from 1 species